UCGUAACAAGGUCUCCGUUGGUGAACCAGCGGAGGGAUCAUUACUGAGUUACCGCUCUAUAACCCUUUGUGAACGUACCUAACCGUUGCUUCGGCGGGCAGGGGAAGCCUCUCGCGGGCCUCCCCUCCCGGCGCCGGCCCCCACCACGGGGACGGGGCGCCCGCCGGAGGAAACCAAACUCUAUUUACACGACGUCUCUUCUGAGUGGCACAAGCAAAUAAUUAAAACUUUUAACAACGGAUCUCUUGGUUCUGGCAUCGAUGAAGAACGCAGCGAAAUGCGAUAAGUAAUGUGAAUUGCAGAAUUCAGUGAAUCAUCGAAUCUUUGAACGCACAUUGCGCUCGCCAGCAUUCUGGCGAGCAUGCCUGUUCGAGCGUCAUUUCAACCCUCAAGCACCGCUUGGUUUUGGGGCCCCACGGCCGACGUGGGCCCUUAAAGGUAGUGGCGGACCCUCCCGGAGCCUCCUUUGCGUAGUAACUAACGUCUCGCACUGGGAUCCGGAGGGACUCUUGCCGUUAAACCCCCAAAUUCUUUACAGGUUGACCUCGGAUCAGGUAGGAAUACCCGCUGAACUUAAGCAUAUCAAU
rnacentral:misc_RNA from 1 species